UCCUACGGGAGGCAGCAGUGGGGAAUCUUGCGCAAUGGGCGAAAGCCUGACGCAGCGACGCCGCGUGGGGGAUGAAGGCCCUCGGGUCGUAAACCCCUUUCGGCAGGGACGAAGCGAACGUGACGGUACCUGCAGAAGAAGUCCCGGCUAACUACGUGCCAGCAGCCGCGGUA
rnacentral:rRNA from 1 species